rnacentral:lncRNA from 1 species
GCACGGCAGGCUAGGGUAGGGGUCAGUUUAGUACUCUACACUAGGGUGAAGUUCGGUAGAGGUCAGUACAGUAGGCUAGAUUUAAGUUCAGUACAUUAGGCUAGAGUUCAGUAUGGUAGGAUAGGGGUCGGUAGGGUAUAGAGGUCGGAACGGUAGGGUAUAGAGGUCGGUACGGUGGGGUAUAGAGGUCGGAACGGUGGGGUAUAGAGGUCGGAACGGUGGGGUAUAGAGGUCGGAACGGUAGGGUAUAGAGGUCGGUACGGUGGGGUAAAGAUGAGUUCAGCAUGGUAGGCUAGAGGUCAGCAUGGUAGGCUAGAGGUCAGCAUGGUAGGCUAGAGGUCAGCAUGGUAGGCUAGAGGUCAGUACGGUAGGGUAGAGAUCAGUUCAGUAGGGUAGGGUUCAGCACGGUAGAGUAGGAUAGAGAUCAGUACAGUUCGGAUACGGUAAGGUGGAGGUCGGUUCGGUAGGGUGGAGGUCGGUACAGUUCAGUACAUUAGGAUGGAGUUCAGUAGUGUAGAGGUCAGUACAGUACAUUAGGGUAGGGUAGUGAUCAGUAUAGUUCAGUACAGUAGACUAGAUUUCAGUAGAGGUCAGUAGGCUAGGGUAGAGGUCGGUUCGGUAAUGUAGGGUAGAGGCCAGUAGGGUAGAAGUCAGUACAGUUCAGUACAUUAGGGUAGAGGUCUGUCUGGGUAGAAGAGGUCGGUUCGGUAAAGUAGGGUAGAGGAGGUCGGUUCGGUAGUGUAGAGGAGGUCGGUUCGGUAGGGUAGAAGUACAGUUCAGUACAGUAUGGUAGGGGUCAGUACAGGUAGUACAGUUCAGUACAGUAUGGUAGGGGUCAG